rnacentral:antisense_RNA from 1 species
ACGAGUCACGGUGGCUACGAGUCACGGUGGCUCCGCGCUGGCGGCGGGUUCCCGCAAAAGGUCUUGGGGAAAGGAGCAUGCGCUGGAAGCUGUGUGCUGUUGGUUUGAGGAUCUUCAGUAAGCUAAAAGCGGAGAGUCAGGGGCCUUCUGCCCUACCAUGGUAUUUGCUAACGUUUAGAGAGUGCUUCCCCUUGCCGAGCACUGGAACCCAAAGAUUGGAUCUUCUGAGAACAUCAGAGAAAGACUGUCCUUGCCAUCCACACCACAGCAAAAUUUUGGAGCCUUGAACCUUGGGUUCAUAAUCUCACAGCUGAGAAAAGUCCCUCCACACUCCUGGAACUGUACACCUAUUGGAACCCUUAAGCCUUCUAGGAGGCACCAGUCAGAGCAAUCAAAUGGAAUCAUCUCCUGGUGAAGUUAUCCAGCUCCUAAAUCUAAAGCCCUGAGCAAGGUACUGUACAGUUUACAAAGAAGAGUCAGAUGCAGCCCCAUUGUGCUCUUAAGGGACAACAAUAGAAGAAAUGACAGAAGACAAUCAGAGAUUAAUGACCAGAUGAAUGAGAUAUACCAGGUGGUCCCAACCUGAGCUCCCAGGCUCCCAAGGGUCUUAGAGAGCAGUAAUAGGGGGAGAAGGAAGGGGUGCUUAUGAGCUAUUUUCAGUACUUCAAAAAGACUAAUCCAAAGAGCUCAUAUUUGCUAGAUAUUAGAUGCACAGGCUAAUUAAAAGAAAACAUCAGGUUUCUUUGCUCGGGGCUAGAAACACCAGUUACCCCAUGCUGACUGGAAGAUCUGAUUGGCAGUUACCGUUGUCUUUGAUUAAUAAAACAUGAGAAAAUGAAUUAAU